UGUGGCCUCGCCGACAGCGCACUGUGAACCCCGCCAGGCCCGGAAGGGAGCAACGGUAGCAGAGAGCGGGUGUGGCGGGGCCUUUCCC
rnacentral:SRP_RNA from 1 species